GGGGGCAAGCGUUAUCCGGAUUUACUGGGUGUAAAGGGAGCGUAGGUGGCAAGGCAAGUCAGAUGUGAAAACCCGGGGCCCAACCCCGGGAGUGCAUUUGGAACUGUGUAGCUGGAGUGCAGGAGAGGUAAGCGGAAUUCCUGGUGUAGCGGUGAAAUGCGUAGAUAUCAGGAGGAACACCAGUGGCGAAGGCGGCUUACUGGACUGUAACUGACGUUGAGGCUCGAAAGCGUGGGGAGCA
rnacentral:rRNA from 1 species